rnacentral:tRNA from 1 species
GCAGUGUUCCCAUAAUGGCAUUGGAGCCGGUUGCUAACCGGUCAGGCUGUAAAGGCCUUGUAGGUUCGAAUCCUGCACACUGCG